AGUACGUAGUCAUGGUUCAGAGCACAAGGUCGGAAACCAAGUUGUUUGCAUUCGGUGUUCAACCCUGCCGUUUCCUGGCUGUGAGAAAGCCCACAGGACUUGUUAGACUGGAAGAAACAUGAGGCCAGCUGGCCCAGCUGCCUGCCUGAGGUACAUCAGCACUGAAACCACCAGGUUCUACACAUCAUUCAGAGACCAAAACGAUGCAGAACUCUAAUACUUGACAAUAGAUCAGCUGCUAUUAAA